UGGUUUUGUGACGUCAAACGGCAACCAAUCACAGUGCAAGAAGGUAACCAAUCAGCACACACGGAAAAGCAAGACACGUAUAAACGGCAGCUCUGUUACUAGUGACUCCAGUGCGAGAGGGAGGGCUGACCACCAGAAAUAAACACUCCGUUUUUAUUGUGCUGUCUCCACGUAACGUAUACGAAGAACUACUACAUAACCUCACAAGAAACACUUUUGUUACUCUGCGUGUGCUUCUGUAUCAGGUGACAGGAGAAGGGUGAUUCACCAUGAACACUCGUGUGGCCUGGGUCCUACUGCUCACCUAUGCUGUGUUGCUGGCUGUGGGAUGCUUCGCAAUAUGGAUAUCAGUUUGGGUGUUUGGCCCCAUGGACAUGAGAAGCCCCCCUGUGCCACCCACAACACCAGCCUCAAGUAGUAAAAGGGAUCAUCAAGAGUACAGUAAUAGG